UACGGAGGGUGCGAGCGUUGUCCGGAAUCACUGGGCGUAAAGGGCGCGUAGGCGGCUUGUCAAGGCUCGUGUGAAAGCCCGGGGCUCAACCCCGGGUCGGCAGGGGCGACUGGCAGGCUAGAGCACAGUAGAGGCAGGCGGAAUUCCGGGUGUAGCGGUGGAAUGCGUAGAGAUCCGGAAGAACACCGGUGGCGAAGGCGGCCUGCUGGGCUGGAAGCUGACGCUGAGGCGCGACAGCGUGGGGAGCAAACAG
rnacentral:rRNA from 1 species